rnacentral:rRNA from 1 species
GAUGAACGCUAGCUACAGGCUUAACACAUGCAAGUCGAGGGGCAGCAUGAACAUAGCUUGCUAUGUUUGAUGGCGACCGGCGCACGGGUGCGUAACACGUAUCCAAUCUGCCCGUUACUCGGGGAUAGCCUUCUGAAAGGAAGAUUAAUACCCGAUGACAUGUAUUUCCGGCAUCGGAGAUACAUUAAAGAUUAAUCGGUAACGGAUGGGGAUGCGUACGAUUAGCUUGUUGGCGGGGUAACGGCCCACCAAGGCUACGAUCGUUAGGGGUUCUGAGAGGAAGGUCCCCCACACUGGAACUGAGACACGGUCCAGACUCCUACGGGAGGCAGCAGUGAGGAAUAUUGGUCAAUGGUCGGAAGACUGAACCAGCCAAGUAGCGUGAAGGAUGACUGCCCUACGGGUUGUAAACUUCUUUUGUUUGGGAAUAAAAGACGCUACGUGUAGCGUUCUGCAUGUACCUUACGAAUAAGCAUCGGCUAAUUCCGUGCCAGCCGCCGCGGUAAAAC